rnacentral:tRNA from 1 species
GGUAUGUGGCUCAAGCGGUAGAGUGCUUGCCUGGCAUGCGUGUGGCCUGGGUUGGAUCCUCAGCACCA